rnacentral:rRNA from 1 species
UACGUAGGGGGCUAGCGUUGUCCGGAAUCAUUGGGCGUAAAGAGCGCGUAGGCGGCCAGACAAGUCCGGUGUGAAAGUCACAGGCUCAACCUGUGAAUGCCGCUGGAAACUGUUUGGCUAGAGUCCGGAAGGGGCGAGUGGAAUUCCUGGUGUAGCGGUGAAAUGCGCAGAUAUCAGGAGGAACACCAGCGGCGAAGGCGC